rnacentral:lncRNA from 1 species
UUCUUAGAAAGUGCUGUUGACGUUUCUUCAUUGUUCUUGGAUGGUACAUUUUCUGUCUUGAGUCUUGAGUGUAGCUAGAGAAGGUUGGAGAUGAAUUGCAGAUCAAAACAGAGAGAAACAAAGCUGCUGUCUUUGUGCAGAAAACGGAGAAUGAUUAACGUUCUUGGUUUGUCAUUUUGAACUUUCUUGAGCUUCAAUAAUCAUUCUGGAGUUCCCGUUUUAAACGUUCUGGAUUUCCUCUGUAAUUGUUUUGUCAUAUGCCCAGAUUAAUUGAACUUUCUUGACAUUUGAUUUUUGGAGUUUGCAGACCGUAAUGACCUUUGUCUGUCUUUGAGUCC